UAGGGAGCUACCAUUUGAUUUUUAUGGGGGGGCUAGGAUGAAAAAUUUUGUCCUGCAUUUUUUUUUUUACUGGAAUCUCUGUCCUGCCUUUUUAUUUUUUACUCUUUUCGGUCCUGCCUUUAUUUUUAAUAGUUUAUCCUGACUUUUUUUACACAAAUUGUCAUCCUGCCUUUUUUUUUUACCAAGUUGCUCAUCCUGCCUUUUUUUUACUCAAAACUCCUGUCCUGCCUAUUUUUUUCAAAUUUCAUCCUAGCCCCCCCAUAAAAAUCAAAUGGUAGCUUCCUUAUGUA
rnacentral:lncRNA from 1 species